AAUGAACGCUGGCGGAAUGCUUUACACAUGCAAGUCGAACGGCAGCACGGGGGCAACCCUGGUGGCGAGUGGCGAACGGGUGAGUAAUACAUCGGAACGUGCCCAGUCGUGGGGGAUAACGUAGCGAAAGUUACGCUAAUACCGCAUACGAUCUACGGAUGAAAGCGGGGGACCGUAAGGCCUCGCGCGAUUGGAGCGGCCGAUGUCAGAUUAGGUAGUUGGUGAGGUAAAGGCUCACCAAGCCGACGAUCUGUAGCUGGUCUGAGAGGACGACAAGCCACACUGGGACUGAGACACGGCCCAGACUCCUACGGGAGGCAGCAGUGGGGAAUUUUGGACAAUGGGCGCAAGCCUGAUCCAGCCAUUCCGCGUGCAGGACGAAGGCCUUCGGGUUGUAAACUGCUUUUGUACGGAACGAAAAGGCUCUGGUUAAUACCUGGGGCUCAUGACGGUACCGUAAGAAUAAGCACCGGCUAACUACGUGCCAGCCGCCGCAGUAA
rnacentral:rRNA from 1 species